UGUAAAUUAUUCAUAUGUUAUUAUUAUUAUUGUCACUAUCAUCAUCACCUUUAUUACUAUCACCAUCACCAUCAUUGUCUCUAUCAAUGAUAGUGGCCAUGAUCAAUAAUGAUAAUAAAAAUAAUAAUGAUACUAAUGGU
rnacentral:pre_miRNA from 1 species